GAUGAACGCUGGCGGCGUGCCUAAUACAUGCAAGUCGAGCGAACGGACGAGAAGCUUGCUUCUCUGAUGUUAGCGGCGGACGGGUGAGUAACACGUGGAUAACCUACCUAUAAGACUGGGAUAACUUCGGGAAACCGGAGCUAAUACCGGAUAAUAUUUUGAACCGCAUGGUUCAAAAGUGAAAGACGGUCUUGCUGUCACUUAUAGAUGGAUCCGCGCUGCAUUAGCUAGUUGGUAAGGUAACGGCUUACCAAGGCAACGAUGCAUAGCCGACCUGAGAGGGUGAUCGGCCACCCUGGAACUGAGGCACGGUCCAGACGCCUACGGGAGGCAGCAGUAGGGAAUCUUCCGCAAUGGGCGAAAGCCUGACGGAGCAACGCCGCGUGAGUGAUGAAGGUCUUCGGAUCGUAAAACUCUGUUAUUAGGGAAGAACAUAUGUGUAAGUAACUGUGCACAUCUUGACGGUACCUAAUCAGAAAGCCACGGCUAACUACGUG
rnacentral:rRNA from 1 species